CRAUDMRCSDDCMBRDMGACGAACGCUGGCGGCGUGCCUAAUACAUGCAAGUCGAGCGGACUUUCAAGAAGCUUGCUUUUUGAAAGUUAGCGGCGGACGGUUGAGUAACACGUGGGCAACCUGUCUGCAAGACGGGGAUAACUCCGGGAAACCGGGGCUAAUACCGGAUAAUAUCUUCCUUCGCAUGAAGGAAGGUUGAAAGGCGGCGCAAGCUGCCGCUUGCAGAUGGGCCCGCGGUGCAUUAGCUAGUUGGUGAGGUAACGGCUCACCAAGGCGACGAUGCGUAGCCGACCUGAGAGGGUGAUCGGCCACACUGGGACUGAGACACGGCCCAGACUCCUACGGGAGGCAGCAGUAGGGAAUCUUCCGCAAUGGACGAAAGUCUGACGGAGCAACGCCGCGUGAGCGAAGAAGGUCUUCGGAUCGUAAAGCUCUGUUGUCAGGGAAGAACAAGUACCGUUCGAACAGGGCGGUACCUUGACGGUACCUGACCAGAAAGCCACGGCUAACUACGUUCCAGCAGCCGUGGUAAUACGUAGGUGGCAAGCGUUGUCCGGAAUUAUUGGGC
rnacentral:rRNA from 1 species